rnacentral:lncRNA from 1 species
CUCCGUGUCUGUUCUUUACAGCGGAUGCACUUGGUGGGGCCGGUGGCAGCAAGAGCUCUAGGUAGCAGUUAGGAAAGUCCCUAGGAUCAGAGGGGAAGAUGCAUGCUUAACUGUGUCGCAGCGUGCAGGCCAGGACCCUGCGUUGCUGACCUGUCAGAACAGGGGCUGUGUUCCAUAGCUUGGGAAACAAGCCCUCUACUUCCCACAGAAACUGUGCUAGGCCCUGCAGUGUGGCGCUGAGCAUGCCCCAUUUUACACAGAGCACACGGACCUCCAUGGGCCGCAGUGUGUGAGGCAGGGUGGCUGUGAUGUGACCUUCCACAUCUGAUUUAUUCACAGCAAAUCAGACUCCCUGUGAGGAUGAGGAUGCACUGAAGCCAGAGGCCCCCAGGAAACUGAUGAUCGGGGAUCAGCGACGGCCCCCCUUCCUCUGGACAUGGUGUGUCACGAUCCAGGACAAUGCCCGGAAGCUGACCCAACACCGUGAGCAGCUACGGAAAGGGAAAGAGGCUGCCUUCUCCCUUGGACAGUGUCUCCGGCGCCUCUUUACCCAGGAAGAAACUGCUCGUGCGGUUCAGCGACACAGAGAGGAACUGGUGGAGGCCUGCAAGCUGGCCGACCACCUUGUCCUGCAGCUGCACAUAGCAAACUGUGGAAGCAGGACAGAUGAGGAAGAGAAAGAGCCACUUUACCAAGUGGACGAUCAGAGCAGCGAUUUCAGCUUCCUGAUUCAGGCUCAGGCCCGAGAGCUGACCCAGUUAAGGAAGAAGUUGGAGGCAGGAAGAAAUGUCGCAUUCAUCCUCCAAAGACAUCUCAAAGACCUCAUCACGGAUAAUGACUUUGGUGAAUCCCAAGGGCAGAGCCUCCUACAGCUGGCAGAGUGGCGCAGGCUGGCUGAGCGCCUGACCCUCCAGCUCGGCUCAGAGCACCACUGCGACACGGAGGACGAGGAAGAAACAGAGUCCCUGGACUCCAGGUGACCAGCAUGGUCAGGGCUGUGAGCCAGUGACGGGAGCGGGGG